GACGAACGCUGGCGGCGUGCCUAAUACAUGCAAGUAGAACGCUGAAGGAGGAGCUUGCUUCUUCGGAUGAGUUGCGAACGGGUGAGUAACGCGUAGGUAACCUGCCUGGUAGCGGGGGAUAACUAUUGGAAACGAUAGCUAAUACCGCAUAAUAGUAGAUGUUGCAUGACAUUUGCUUAAAAGGUGCAAUUGCAUCACUACCAGAUGGACCUGCGUUGUAUUAGCUAGUUGGUGGGGUAACGGCUCACCAAGGCGACGAUACAUAGCCGACCUGAGAGGGUGAUCGGCCACACUGGGACUGAGACACGGCCCAGACUCCUACGGGAGGCAGCAGUAGGGAAUCUUCGGCAAUGGACGGAAGUCUGACCGAGCAACGCCGCGUGAGUGAAGAAGGUUUUCGGAUCGUAAAGCUCUGUUGUAAGAGAAGAACGGGUGUGAGAGUGGAAAGUUCACACUGU
rnacentral:rRNA from 1 species